GUGCUCGCUUCAGCACAUAUACUAAAAUUGGAACGAUACAAAGAAGAUUAGCAUGGCCCCUGCUUAAGGAUGACAUGCAAGAAAAAAAAAGAAACUACAGUCUU